UACAGAGGUGGCAAGCGUUGUUCGGAAUUACUGGGCGUAAAGGGCGCGUAGGCGGCCUUCUAAGUCAGACGUGAAAUCCCCCGGCUUAACCUGGGAACUGCGUCUGAUACUGGAGGGCUUGAGUGCGGGAGAGGGAUGUGGAAUUCCAGGUGUAGCGGUGAAAUGCGUAGAUAUCGAGAGGAACACCUGCGGCGAAGGCGGGUUGCUGGGCUGAUACUGACGCUGAGGCGCGAAAGCCAGGGGAGCGAACGGG
rnacentral:rRNA from 1 species